rnacentral:tRNA from 1 species
UGGGGAUGUGGCUCAAUGGUAGAGCACUUGCAUAGCAUGCACGAGGAUCUGGGUUCAAUCCCCAGCUCCACAA